UCAGAGAGAGUUAAGGUGGACGAGCAU
rnacentral:piRNA from 1 species